rnacentral:lncRNA from 1 species
UGUAUGAUACAGUCCCUUUAUCGUGAGUCCCGAUUAGAUGGCAGGUCAUAGAUAAAUCAUCAAAUCUCAUCAUUAGUCAUAUGAUAGAUCCGAUCAGCUCAAGUCCAAUAGUGAUUCUAAAUGAAAACUCUUUUUCUUCAAUCACACUGCUAUGGCCAUAGAUUUAUGGACUCAGCUUCUCAAAUCUCAUAGGACUACUUCUUUCUAUCAAGAUCGAUAGAUCCCAUCUAGAUGCACACGUUGUUCGCACAGCUCAACCAAUAGAAGCCAACAUCCACUACAAAAACUUAUGAUUAAGUCAGUGCUUAUGUGUAGUCAAACUAUAGUAGUCUUACUGUGAGCAAUUAUGAUACCGUAGAUC